UUUAGAGUUUGAUUCCAUGGCUCAGAGCGAACGCUGGCGGCAGGCCUAACACAUGCAAGUCGAACGGAUCCUUCGGGAUUAGUGGCGGACGGGUGAGUAACACGUGGGAACGUGCCCUUUGGUUCGGAACAACUCAGGGAAACUUGAGCUAAUACCGGAUAAGCCUUUCGAGGGAAAGAUUUAUCGCCAUUGGAGCGGCCCGCGUAGGAUUAGCUAGUUGGUGGGGUAAAGGCCCACCAAGGCUACGAUCCUUAGCUGGUCUGAGAGGAUGAUCAGCCACAUUGGGACUGAGACACGGCCCAAACUCCUACGGGAGGCAGCAGUGGGGAAUCUUGCGCAAUGGGCGAAAGCCUGACGCAGCCAUGCCGCGUGAAUGAUGAAGGUCUUAGGAUUGUAAAAUUCUUUCACUGGGGACGAUAA
rnacentral:rRNA from 1 species